rnacentral:rRNA from 1 species
AUACAUGCAAGUCGAGCGAAUGGAUUAAGAGCUUGCUCUUAUGAAGUUAGCGGCGGACGGGUGAGUAACACGUGGGUAACCUGCCCAUAAGACUGGGAUAACUCCGGGAAACCGGGGCUAAUACCGGAUAACAUUUUGAACCGCAUGGUUCGAAAUUGAAAGGCGGCUUCGGCUGUCACUUAUGGAUGGACCCGCGUCGCAUUAGCUAGUUGGUGAGGUAACGGCUCACCAAGGCAACGAUGCGUAGCCGACCUGAGAGGGUGAUCGGCCACACUGGGACUGAGACACGGCCCAGACUCCUACGGGAGGCAGCAGUAGGGAAUCUUCCGCAAUGGACGAAAGUCUGACGGAGCAACGCCGCGUGAGUGAUGAAGGCUUUCGGGUCGUAAAACUCUGUUGUUAGGGAAGAACAAGUGCUAGUUGAAUAAGCUGGCACCUUGACGGUACCUAACCAGAAAGCCACGGCUAACUACGUGCCAGCAGCCGCGGUAAUACGUAGGUGGCAAGCGUUAUCCGGAAUUAUUGGGCGUAAAGCGCGCGCAGGUGGUUUCUUAAGUCUGAUGUGAAAGCCCACGGCUCAACCGUGGAGGGUCAUUGGAAACUGGGAGACUUGAGUGCAGAAGAGGAAAGUGGAAUUCCAUGUGUAGCGGUGAAAUGCGUAGAGAUAUGGAGGAACACCAGUGGCGAAGGCGACUUUCUGGUCUGUAACUGACACUGAGGCGCGAAAGCGUG